GAUGAACGCUGGCGGCGUGCCUAAUACAUGCAAGUCGAGCGAACAGACGAGGAGCUUGCUCCUCUGACGUUAGCGGCGGACGGGUGAGUAACACGUGGAUAACCUACCUAUAAGACUGGGAUAACUUCGGGAAACCGGAGCUAAUACCGGAUAAUAUAUUGAACCGCAUGGUUCAUUAGUGAAAGACGGUUUUGCUGUCACUUAUAGAUGGAUCCGCGCCGCAUUAGCUAGUUGGUAAGGCAACGGCUUACCAAGGCAACGAUGCGUGGCCGACCUGAGAGGGUGAUCGGCCACACUGGAACUGAGACACGGUCCAGACUCCUACGGGAGGCAGCAGUAGGGAAUCUUCCGCAAUGGGCGAAAGCCUGACGGAGCAACGCCGCGUGAGUGAUGAAGGUCUUCGGAUCGUAAAACUCUGUUAUUAGGGAAGAACAAAUGUGUAAGUAACUAUGCACGUCUUGACGGUACCUAAUCAGAAAGCCACGGCUAACUACGUG
rnacentral:rRNA from 1 species